CUUGAACGCUGGCGGCAUGCCUUACACAUGCAAGUCGAACGGUAACAGGUCUUCGGAUGCUGACGAGUGGCGAACGGGUGAGUAAUACAUCGGAACGUGCCUAGUAGUGGGGGAUAACUACUCGAAAGAGUGGCUAAUACCGCAUGAGAUCUACGGAUGAAAGCAGGGGAUCGCAAGACCUUGUGCUACUAGAGCGGACGAUGGCAGAUUAGGUAGUUGGUGGGAUAAAAGCUUACCAAGCCGACGAUCUGUAGCUGGUCUGAGAGGACGAUCAGCCACACUGGGACUGAGACACGGCCCAGACUCCUACGGGAGGCAGCAGUGGGGAAUUUUGGACAAUGGGCGCAAGCCUGAUCCAGCAAUGCCGCGUGCAGGAUGAAGGCCUUCGGGUUGUAAACUGCUUUUGUACGGAACGAAAAGCCUUGGGUUAAUACCCUGGGGUCAUGACGGUACCGUAAGAAUAAGCACCGGCUAACUACGUGCCAGCAGCCGCGGUAAUAC
rnacentral:rRNA from 1 species